AUGGCGGCACUCCGGGCCCAGCCUUCCUCUUCCCCUUCUACGUCCAUAGCGCGGCCACGGCAGAGCCGCGGCGCUAACUGCCGCGCCGCCCUGCGGUUGCCUUCUGGCAUUCGCACCGCGAAGGAUCAGGACAACCUCAGCCUCAAGCUUGAAUGGGUCGAGGCGCCGCGCGUCCCGGCCUCCCCGUCGGCGGACGUGUCCGUCGAGAAGCUCCGCGCCAUCGCGGAGGCCGCGGCGGACCGCGCCGAGAUGCACGACAUCAUCGGCAGGCAGCGCGACAAUUGGAACCACCUGCUGCUGCACUCCACCAACUCCCUCACGCUCGCCGCCUCCGUCAUGGCCGCGCUCGCGCCCGCCGCGCCGGCCAUGCCCGCGCUCAAGGCGUCCGCGGGGGUGCUCCUCGCCACUGCGGCGGUGACCAUGGCGGCCGUCAACAAGAUCCAGCCCUCGCAGCUCGCUGAGGAGCAGCGCAACGCCACCAGGCUGUGGAGGGAGCUCGAGCGCGACGUCCGCGCCGCGCUCGCGCUCGGCGCGCCCACGACCACCAGGGCCGACGUGCAGGAGGCCAUGGACCGGGUGCUCGCGCUCGACGCGGCCUACCCGCUGCCGCUGCUCCCCGCCAUGCUCGAGAAGUUCCCCAAGGCCGUCGAGCCCGCGCGCUGGUGGCCGCGCCGCCGCCCCUCGAAGCAGCCCAGGAACUCAAAGAGCUUCGGCCGUCGUGCCGUCGCUUCCGGCAACGGCUGGACCCAGGAUCUUGAGGACGAGAUGCGAGGCAUCCUGAGGGUCAUCAAGGCCAAGGACGAGCAGGAGUUCCUGAAGGUGGGCAGGCUGGUGCUCAGCCUCAACAGGGGCCUCGCCGUGGCCGGCCCGGCGCUGGCCGGCACGGCGGCGCUAGCCACGGUGUUCAUCGGCUCCGGAGAGGCCGGGGCGUGGGCGUCAGGCGCGGCCGUCUUCGGCGGGGCGCUGGCGGCGGCGGUGAACACGGUGGAGCACGGCGGGCAGAUGGGCAUGCUGUUCGAGCUGCUCCGCAACUGCGCCGGCUUCUACCGUAAAAUCCAGGAGGACAUCGAGGCCAACCUCGGCGAGCCCGACGUGGAGCGGAGGGAGCGCGGCGAGGUGUUCGCAACCAAGGUGGCGUUGAAGCUCGGCCGGAGCAUGUCGGACCUUAAGCAGUUCAGGAAGAUGGCCUCGCCGUCCGUCAGAGACGAGGACAUCAAGGAAUUCGCCGGGAAACUCUUCUGA
rnacentral:rRNA from 1 species